rnacentral:rRNA from 1 species
ACGAACUUCUUUAUCACCGAGUGCUUGCACUCACCGAUAAAGAGUUGAGUGGCGAACGGGUGAGUAACACGUGGACAACCUGCCCAAAAGAGGGGGAUAACACUUGGAAACAGGUGCUAAUACCGCAUAACCAUAGUUACCGCAUGGUAACUAUGUAAAAGGUGGCUAUACUACCGCUUUUGGAUGGGCCCGCGGCGCAUUAGCUAGUUGGCAGGGUAAAGGCUUACCAAGGCAAUGAUGCGUAGCCGAAUUGAGAGGUUGAUCGGCCACAUUGGGACUGAGACACGGCCCAAACUCCUACGGGAGGCAGCAGUAGGGAAUCUUCCACAAUGGGCGAAAGCCUGAUGGAGCAACGCCGCGAGGGUGAAGAAGGUCUUCGGAUCGUAAAACCCUGUUGUUAGAGAAGAAAGUGCGUGAGAGUAACUGUUCACGUUUCGACGGUAUCUAACCAGAAAGCCACGGCUAACUACGUGCCAGCAGCCGCGGUAAUACGUAGGUGGCAAGCGUUAUCCGGAUUUGUUGGGCGUAAAGGGAACGCAGGCGGUCUUUUAAGUCUGAUGUGAAAGCCUUCGGCUUAACCGGAGUAGUGCAUUGGAAACUGGGAGACUUGAGUGCAGAAGAGGAGAGUGGAACUCCAUGUGUAGCGGUGAAAUGCGUAGAUAUAUGGAAGAACGCCAGUGGCGAAAGCGGCUCUCUGGUCUGUAACUGACGCUGAGGUUCGAAAGCGUGGGUAGCAACCAGGAUUAGAUACCCUGGUAGUCCACGCCGUANACGAUGAAUGCUAA